rnacentral:rRNA from 1 species
GAUGAACGCUGGCGGCGUGCUUAACACAUGCAAGUCGAACGAUGAAGCCCAGCUUGCUGGGUGGAUUAGUGGCGAACGGGUGAGUAACACGUGAGUAACCUGCCCUUAACUCUGGGAUAAGCCUGGGAAACUGGGUCUAAUACCGGAUAGGAGCGUCCACCGCAUGGUGGGUGUUGGAAAGAUUUAUCGGUUUUGGAUGGACUCGCGGCCUAUCAGCUUGUUGGUGAGGUAAUGGCUCACCAAGGCGACGACGGGUAGCCGGCCUGAGAGGGUGACCGGCCACACGGGGACUGAGACACGGCCCAGACUCCUACGGGAGGCAGCAGUGGGGAAUAGUGCACAAUGGGCGCAAGCCUGAUGCAGCGACGCCGCGUGAGGGAUGACGGCCUUCGGGUUGUAAACCUCUUUCAGUAGGGAAGAAGCGAAAGUGACGGUACCAGAAGAAGAAGCACCGGCAAACUACGU